CCGCCGCCUCCGUCCGGGCUUGCGGCCCCUGCCGGUUACAUAACUCGUUGCGGGCUUCGCGCGGCCUCCCUUUUCGGCUGCCGGUGACCCCAGGAUGCGCUGAGCCCCACGACGGCGUCCGCUGCCGCCGGCUCCUGCCAGAGGUGACAGGUGGGGCCGGCCGGUGAAGGGGUGCGGCCGCCCUCCUGACGCUGCCUCCCGCCCUGCAGGUGUGAAUGACAGAGGUGGUGCCGUCCAGCGCCCUCAGCGAGGUCAGCCUGCGCCUCCUCUGCCACGAUGACAUAGACACCGUGAAGCACCUGUGCGGCGACUGGUUCCCCAUCGAGUACCCAGACUCAUGGUAUCGUGAUAUCACCUCCAAUAAGAAGUUCUUUUCCCUCGCCGCCACCUACCGGGGCGCCAUCGUGGGAAUGAUAGUAGCUGAAAUAAAAAGUAGGACCAAGAUACACAAGGAGGAUGGAGAUAUUCUAGCCUCCAACUUCUCUGUUGACACACAGGUCGCAUACAUUCUGAGUCUGGGAGUGGUCAAGGAGUUCAGGAAGCACGGCAUCGGUUCCCUCUUACUCGAGAGCUUAAAGGAUCACAUAUCAACCACCGCCCAGGACCACUGCAAAGCCAUCUACCUGCACGUCCUCACCACCAACAACACAGCAAUAAACUUCUACGAAAACAGAGACUUUAAGCAGCAUCACUAUCUCCCCUAUUACUACUCCAUCCGAGGGGUCCUCAAAGAUGGCUUCACCUACGUCCUCUACAUCAAUGGUGGCCACCCUCCCUGGACAAUCCUAUAUCCUUUACUUCUCAGGGGUGAGGGAUAUGGCUUCCUAGCCACAAGGGUGGCUCGCAGGGCCAGGGCCCGUGCACCAGAUGGAGCCGCUGUUGCCUUCCCAUGCAUGACUCAGGAGGCCAAGCUCACAGGACGUGCUGUGGCUAGAUCUGGUUGUACUCAAGUGUUUCUCAGACUUCACCCGUCACGAGGUGUGGGUUUUAACCCCCUUGGCCAACGAUCCAUGCUUCCAACAGAUACCGAUUAGGAGCCUCCUUUUCCAGGUGCACAGGAGAUGCACACAGCUGUCAACACAACAGUGGGUCCCCUGCCGUCAGGGGGCCCGGCCCGUGUGCCGUCAGUCAGGGGAGGAAACAAGCAAGGUGAAAAGAAUUGCUGGCUGUUUGCAGCCCUGGGGUUCAGACCUCCCUUUCCUGAGGCGUGUCACCCAGAGCUGUGUCCCCUCUCACCCCCCACACGCCGCUCCCUCCUCUUUCGCCCUACUCUGGGCAGAAUGGGCAGUUGGGAGGCCAGGAGGCUUCCUAAUAGUUCAGGAUGUGGCUCCAGAAUGCUCUGUGUGAGGGUGAGCCAGCAAGAAGCUGAUGAGGCGAGCGAGGCUAGGGUUUAUCCGUUUUAUGGGGACAUAAACAGGAGGGAGAAGCCUGGCCUGCAGGCUCCCCGUGCAUGUGCACGUGGGCCUCUUGCAGCUGUCCGGGAGGUCGGCACCGUGACCCCUUCCUUGUCCCAGGGCCCUGCCGUUCCGAUGCCUGAGUACGGGGUCAAGUUGGGACACUCACUCUCCUGCCGGACCUCUCCCCCUGGCGCCCCGUCCCUUCCCACGUGCCUGAGCUCUGCUCACCCAGGAGGUGCUCUCCGACCCAGUGCCACCCUUUAUUUCUUUGCACGGUGGAGCCCCUCCGGCUCACGAGGCUUUCCAGCACCCUACAGAGGCUUAGCGGGCUUUUGGCCUCCUUCCUGAAUGGCGGCGUCUGCGUGCAGGCCUGCGGCUUACCGCGUGGGCCUGCUGACCGUGCCGCCAGGGGUGCGUGGGCACACAGGGCGAGCCGAUAUUCCUUAACAGAGCCGCACGGACUACAUUCAGCACCUGGGCUCCGCUCUAGCGAACCUCAGCCCCUGCUCCAUCCCGCACAGGCUCUACCGCCAGGCCCACAGCCUGCUCUGCAGCUUCCUGCCGUGGUCCAGCAUCUCCACCAAGGGUGGCCUCGAGUAUAGCCGGACCAUGUGACGCCGGCUGGGCGGCCUCCGCCAGGCCCCACCCUUCGGCACCCCGCAGAACCCGCCUUCCUGGCCGUCCGACUUCCGUCCUCUGCAACAGAGCUGGUGGCCGCUCGCCGGGCCCGUCGGCCUGCCCCAGCUGCAGGCCCGGUGCUACGCGGGCUCGGAGCAGAGCGUCGUGGGGCAUGCCUGGUCUUGGACAGGCUUUUCCAGUCCUCCUUUCUUUUCUGGUAACCUGUGGAAACCGCCACCUCUGCCUCUGUCCUGGUCCUGCCCCCAUGAGCGUGCACCGGCCCCGCUGGCCAGGUGAGGUGCGGCAGCAUCCACUGUGGUCUGUUCCUUCCGCUGCUCCCUUCCCCUCCGAUGCCCAUUCCUUCCAGUUCCUUCCUCCAGAGCCGGAAUGAACUAAUGGACGGCAGGAACCCAAGUGUUGUGGACAGACUUGACCCUGAAGACAGAGGAGCCUCAGAACAACGAGGGCGUGAGAUAAAGGGAGUGCCAGACCCUUGUCCAACACCGGCUCCCAGAAGCCCGGGGUACGGGGAGCAGCCCCUGCCUGUCCAUGGAGGGCUGGUUCACGGUGGGCGGGACCAGGGAGGCUUUUCCCCCAGGCACAGAGCUCUGGGGCUCAGACCCUGACAGGAGAGGUCAGAUAAUGCAACAAUUCCCCACUGCUCAGCUGGGAGGUCGGGCCCUCUGGCAGCAUCCUGCGGGGGGCUUCAUACUGUUGCGGAGGGCACAGGGCUGCCCCAGGGAGCUGGGCUGAGGACAGGUGCCAGGGAGGUUCCUGGGGGUCUUCUCCCCAGUCCCCCAAGUCCACCAGCUGCAGCUCCGAAAGGAUGUCUGUCGAAAGGGACCUGGCCUUCGGGGCUGGGGGUUGUCGUGUGCCUUGUGGUCCCUCAGCCCCUGGGGGCAGCGACAGGAGAGGCUAUCAGCGCCAGGAGGUGCGCGCAAACAUCACUUGCUUCUGGCGUCACUCUCACCCCCAUUCCCCAAAGCUUCUUGCUCCCCAAAGCUCCUCUCCAGAGGAGAGGGGGUAGCAGGGCCAGGCCCGGCGUGGCCACAGCGCGCCGGCCUGAGAGGAGAAGGAGGAACAGCCAGACCGGGGGGGCCUCCGGGGCAGUCACGCUUCCUUCCCUCAGAACUGCACAGUCUGGGGCCACCUCCACUCAUGAGGGUAGGAGAGAGGGAUCCUCGAGACGAGGAGAAGCCGUGGGCAGGAGACACGCUCUCCCCCCUCCCCACCUCGUGACUGGUGGUGCCUCUCGGGGUGAGAUCCCCGCCUGUGCACUGACCUUGGCUUCAUGCUGAGGCCCAGUUUAGUGUCCUCUCUAAUCUGAACCAACGGUGAUUGUAUGAUUUUUAUUUCUGCCCCGAGGGGUAAGGGCAGAGUCUUCUGGAAGGUUUUGCCUUGGACUUUCAUAAUUGAGCUCAGAGGCCUUGCCCUGCCCCCUCCCUCCCUGCCCCCAAUCACUGCAGUGUCCAGCCCAGUGUUGAACAGAUUGUAGUGUUUUGUCUCAUUACAAACAAAUAAACAGACUUUAAUUGGUCA